rnacentral:rRNA from 1 species
GAUGAACGCUAGCUACAGGCUUAACACAUGCAAGUCGAGGGGCAGCAGGGAUUUAGCUUGCUAAAUUCGCUGGCGACCGGCGCACGGGUGCGUAACGCGUAUCCAACUUUCCCGUUACUCUCGGAUAGCCUUCCGAAAGGGAGAUUAAUACGAGAUGGUGUUUUAAUUCCGCAUGUUAUUAAAACUAAAGAUUUAUCGGUAACGGAUAGGGAUGCGUGACAUUAGAUAGUUGGCGGGGUAACGGCCCACCAAGUCUACGAUGUCUAGGGGUUCUGAGAGGAAGGUCCCCCUCACUGGAACUGAGGCACGGUCCAGACUCCUACGGGAGGCAGCAGUGAGGAAUAUUGGUCAAUGGCCGAGAGGCUGAACCAGCCAAGUAGCGUGAAGGAUGAAGGUUCUAUGGAUUGUAAACUUCUUUUAUACGGGAAUAACAUCACCUACGUGUAGGUGCCUGCAUGUACCGUAUGAAUAAGCAUCGGCUAACUCCGUGCCAGCCGCCGCUGUAAAAC